rnacentral:rRNA from 1 species
GAUCAUGGCUCAGGACGAACGCUGGCGGCGUGCCUAACACAUGCAAGUCGAGCGGAGACAGUGAGUAGCUUGCUAUGAGCUGUUUUAGCGGCGGACGGGUGAGUAACGCGUGAGCAACCUUUCCCAGACAGGGGAAUAACACACCGAAAGGUGUACUAAUACCGCAUAAGACCACCGGGAGUCACAUGGUUCUGGGGUAAAAGGAAUUUAUUCGGUUUGGGGUUGGGGCGUCGCGUCCGAUAGUAGUGGUG